rnacentral:rRNA from 1 species
GACGAACGCUGGCGGCGUGCUUAACACAUGCAAGUCGAACGGAAAGGCCCUGCUUUUGUGGGGUGCUUGAGAGGCGAACGGGUGAGUAACACGUGUGUAUCCUGCACUUGAAUUUGGGAUAACUUCAGGAAAAUGGGGAUCAUACCGGAUAGGAUCUUCUGCUGCAUGGUGGGGGUUGGAAAGUUUCGGCGUUUGGGGAUGGACUCGCGGCUUCUCCGCUUGUUAGUCGGGUAGUGACUUACCAAGGCUUUGACGGGUAGCCGGCCUGAGAGGUUGAACGGGGACAUGGGUACUGAGAGACGGCGCAGACGCCUACGGUAGGCAGCAGGGGAGAGUAUGACAGAACGGGGGCAAGCCAGAUGCAGAGACGCCGCGUGCGUGAUGACGGCCUACUAGGGGUAAACCGCUGUGGCCUGAAACGAAGCGAGAGUGACGGUAAUUGGUAAAGAAGCACCGGCUAACUACGUG